UUAAUAUUCGUUGGUUGACCAAAAGUGAAUCAAAAUGUAUAAAAUUUAUUUGUAAGUAAAAGCAGGGAAAAGUUAUUCGAACAAGAAAAUAAGAGAGAAGAACUUCAGGUGAAAAAUGGAUUUCCUCAAACCAUAUUCGAAUAAGAUAAAAAACAAAAGAGAACAAAUGUGGAUUUUCCUCAAAAACUUAGGAAUUUUUGGUUCAAGACUCUAAUACUUUUUAUACUAGUUAAUUUUUUGUAGAUCAUUAUCUGUGUUUUGAAUAUUUUAUUCAUUCAUAAAAUUAUUUUGAAAUAAUACAACAAUUUUUCAGUUUUUAAAAGAGGCAACACUUGUUUUUUCUUAUUUUUUUCAAAAUUAAUUGAAACGGAUCUUUUAUUGUGUUAUCACCACUAUCGGAUCAUUAUUUAUGUUUUGAAUCAUCAUCUUAUUUUGAACGUCUUACAUUUAUAAAAUAUUACAAAAAAAAAUUAAAAUUUCAGUUUUUUAAAACCGUAAGGAAUAGAACUGUGAUCGGGAAGAUACUUUCUCUUUGUCGAGUUAGGCCGAUAUAUUUUUGUACAAUCGCAAGUCAUCACCUCAUGCUCUUUCGUUCGUCUAAUUUGCCUCGAAGCUACGCUUAUAGGAGCCGAAUCGUUUAUUACCAUUUCCUUCAUAGAAUCAAAAUUAACCUGUUGAGCUGCAGAAUAAGAAAGGGAUAUACCUUUAACUGUGCAUACAACAUCACCUGAACAGGUCUUAUAAGCAUAGUUUUUCGGGCCCCCAGACACAAAUUCCGUAAUAUAUGCAUCAGGACCAUAGGACUCUAAUUCAUUAGUCAUAUCACCAAUGAAUUCACCUGUGGGAAUGUCAGAUUCUCCAGGUCUGGAAACAUAAAAGUUAGAAUCGGUAUCGUAAUAGAGUACCCUUUCUUGCAGUUUUUCAAGGUAACUGAAAAGUUUCAGACGCGCAAGAGCUGUAACGUAUGACGCUAUAACAACAUUAACCGUGGGCAAAGGGUCGUAACAUUCAUCCAUAUAUUCCUAAUUAACAAUUAAAGUAUCUUCAUGGAUCGAUAGAAUUGUGUUCCCAUUUAUUGAAGGAUUAAUUAUCAUAGAGAAGAAUUCAACAGGUUGAUUAACAAUUGUUGUCUUUGGUUGAUUCUCACGCUGACCAAACUUACCCCAAAAUGAAUUUAGCAUAAAUUUAGUCAGGGAGCGCAAACCCGGUUUAUUGCAAAUUUUAUCAAAUUCCAACUGAAUAUCUUCCCUUUGUAAAAAUCUUUCUAUAUAAUUAUCUUUUUCCUUCUGUGUACGACAAUUUUUCGGCCAGUCGGACGACUCUUGCUUUAUUUUAAUAAAUUUGUUUAUCAUUUCGGUAAACAAUCCUAUUACAUCUAUUCCAGCCUGAAUUGUCUCAUAUGACCAAAUUUCAAAAAUAGUUUGUAUUUUGUACCGCAUUUCGAGUACCUUUAAAACCUCUUCAAUCACCCAAGUACCCGUUAACGAACGCUCUAUAUCUGAAUGUAGACAUUCUCCUGAAUUGAGAUUUUCCCCAAACACACGACAAAGAACGAACAUUAACUUGUUAUUCAUUUUCAUCGAUAAAACGGGGUGGAACAAUUGAUGAGGGGGAAGAAUUUUACAUUUAAUGAGUCCACUAAUACUAGAAAGAUCUAUUAAAGAAUAUUCCUUAUUAAUGUAAAUUUUCGGAUGUCCGAUAGGAAACUUUCCAUACUUACAAACCCAGAGGUAAGGCGAAAAUACAUCUACAUAUUUAAUUUUUCCUCCUCCUUAGUUUUGUAGUAUGUGUAAGUAUUUCCAGUUCGGCCACCAUAGAAAGCUUCUCUUGGAUUUAGAGGUGAUUGAUUUAGAAGAGGAUCUGAAAAUUUUUUAAUUUCAUCCGUUAAUUCUUUUCGAAAAUCGCAAUCCCAUUUUUCUAUGACUUUAUACCCCAGAGAUUUCAAUCUUUCAAUCUUAGCUUGGGUGGCUUCGAAUCGAAGAUUGAAAGUCUCAGAGGGGUUAUCUUUGAGAGGAUCAUCUCUCUUUUCUGAUCACCAUUUUAGUAAAGAAUUUCUAGCGUUAAAAGAAAAAAUUAUCAGGGUCAUAAAUUUUAAUAUCAGGUAUUGGUCCAACGUAACUUUGAUUUUCACUGCGUUUGAAAAGAUGAGGAAAAUACUCCUUUUCCUCUGAGAAAUUGAAGGAGGAUGGAAGUUUACACAAAGCCAUCGGAAGAUGGCUUUAAAUCUGUUUUGGUCAGGAUAUAAUUUAAAAUAAAUUGAUGAUCAAAUGCGCCUCCGUUAUGUGCGAGUAUGACAAUAUUUUCAAAUUUUUUGCGAAAACUUAACAUAUGAUGCAUGAACGGCGAAAUCGGAUCACUAUUUAACAACUUGUAAUCUUAGACCACAUUUAGAACAAAUACACAAAGAUUUGGUUCAUGUAUACGUGAACCGUCAUCAAGUACCCUUUCCUGUUGUGUUUCCAAAUCAUAAAAAACGAAAAGAAAAUCUUUCAAUGAUGGAAUACGAUUAUCAGAUUGGAUGUAGCAAAGAUGUCUUGAAGGCUGGUGUUUAUUACAAAUCUUACAAAAGAUUUCUCCACAGACAUGUUUGCGUGUGUGUGGUACGAUUUUAAAACACUCUUCGCAGCGACGUAUCUGGUCGCAAAUGCCAUGCUUCAUAUGAUUUUCGAAGCAUACUUAUCCACGGAAAGAUCUUUUGCAAGAUUCACAAUUAACCUUGAUCUCGUCGGGGGUACAAACAAGUGAUUGUUGACAACCAGGGCAGGUUCCUCCACAUCUAUGAUCCCGAUUAUUAUUGUAAGGAAUAUGGCAUUCCUUACAAUAAUAACUACACGAAAACGCCGCAGUUAACGAAGUAAUUACAUUGUAAUGGCCCUCAUGGUAGAGUAAAUUCAACGAAGAACCUUUGUCUGUACCUUCGAAAAUGACAUCACGACCUUUUGACCCAUAGUUGUAGACAAUAAUUUUAUAAUUUUUAGAUAUUGUUGAAAUAUAUAAAAAAAUCUGGUAUUCCACAUCCCUCGGAAGGAAUGGAAACCCCUGAAGCUUCCAUCAGUUCCAAAGCUCUGGCAGUCUGAAGUUUUCCAAUAUCUCUCCUAACUUUAGUGUAGAGAGGAUCUAUAUAUACGUUAGCCAUAGCGACGACAAGAGCACGAGAUAUAACGGCAUUGAAAUUUAGGAAACUUGUGGUAUUCUGUAUGAUAAUAAGAAGCUUUUUUUACCCAUUAAUCUGAUUGUCAUUUCCUUUGUGAGGCUCCAUAUUUAAAGAAGAAAACCGGGGGCUAACGAAAAAAGGUAAAGAAUGUUUUGAAGGACUGGAAUGUUUAUUUUUUUAUUCACACCCUAUGCCAUAAAAAGAAGACGCAAUUCCAUAGUUCACCUACCACGAAACCAAUUUGACACCCCAAUCGUAAAGCUGCUGCUGCUACUGGAACUUUUUGGAUUCAUAGAUAUAAGCAAACAACAACAAGUACCGAAUAUAAUUCAAACCAGAUACAUAUUUAAUGUAAUUGGAUGUAAAUAGCUUAUAGGGUUGGGCAAUGUGUGAAUUUCUACCUUACGGAGGAUUUGAGUGGAUCUCAGUAUCGGAUGAUUAACAGGGGAUAUAUGUAAAAAGUGAAUUUAGAAUAUUCUUCAUAUACAGGAUUUCAAUUUGAAACUUCUUUCUACCUUAGCCUUGAGCCCCUGUCUUUUCGAUUGUAUUUACUAGAUUAUACCUGAUACAAUUUUAUUAAUUCAAAAUUACUGAUUACACACACAAUGAAUUUAGAAUAUUCCACGCUAAAAGGUCCAGAGUGCAGGGGGGUAGACGAUAGGGGGUUAAAAUUGAUGGUUUCGUUGGAAUCUAGUCUUUGAAUUUCAAGGGUGUUAUUUUCAUGGUUGCCCAUCUACACUCUGGACCUUU